AGGAAGGUAUGAUGCGCACAGCAGCAAGUUUUCCCUCAGAAAGAAACCAAGGUUUAUCGAACCAGGAGGAGCCAAGAAGCACGUUGAAGGUUGAUGGCGGCGGGAUGUAGUGCGGCGCAACACCAGGGAUUCCGGCGCCAACGUGGAACCUGCACAACACAACCAAAGUACUUUGCCCCAACGAAACAGUGAGGUUGUCAAUCUCACCGGCUUGCUGUAACAAAGAGUUAACCGUAUUGUGUGGAAGAUGAUUGUUUGCAGAAAACAGUAGAACAGUAUUGCAGUAGAUUGUAUUUCAGUAAAGAGAA